AGCCUUUCCCUCAAAUUCCCUAAAAUUUCAUAUCCCUUCAUUCUAUGUUCUAAGAAUUGCCUCAUUCCUUCCAUCAUCACCGGCCCUUCAUGUUUCGGUGCCAUCUCUUAGAGUUCCUCAAUGACAUGGCACUUUCCAGUUUUAUUGCUAUGAUAAUUGUCUUCGGCUAGGCAGAUCAGUAAGGUGGUUAUGAUUGAUGGAAGGAUUUCCCCUAUCAAAGAUAUGUUGGGUGCAUAUGCUUUGAACCAGAAUUUUAUCAGGAUCAACUAACUAUGUAUCCACUGCAUCAAAGUCGUAAUUCCCCAAGCGAGAUGUUGAGCGAUGCAUGAGAUUUUUUUCUUAUGCAAUAUGAGAAGAAAAGUUGGCCAUUUAUCUUGGACCUUGCUCAUGUGGGGGGAUAUUUCUACUUUUAUACUUUACAUGUCUUAUUUCAACUUCACUCCUUUCAUAAUAAAAAUUUAAUUGCAGAUUGAGACUAUGCAUUUCACAUACAAAAAAUUAUUGAGUUGUGGAUUUGUCUAACAAGAACAGAAAUUUGCUGGCAGGUAAAAUUGUUUAUAUAUAAUGUGCAAUUGAAUGCCCAUGUAAAGUAUUUAUGUUAAUUAUCUAGAAUGAUUAGUGUAUUGAUGACACAACAACAACUAGAUCAAUUUGUGCUACUUAGGGUGGUAUUUUAGCUUUUAAAUAGUUGGUGUAGCGGACAACUUGUAGUUAUUCGCUCAGUAUAGAUUGUUUUUGAUUGUUGGUAAAGGAAUGUCGUAACCUAGUCAUGAUGUUAAUAUUUUUUUUUUAAUUGUUUUAUUUCAUACACUAUGAUGUUUAGAACUUUAACAUGUGGAUGAGUUUCAUUAC